rnacentral:rRNA from 1 species
GACGAACGCUGGCGGCGUGCCUAACACAUGCAAGUCGAGCGGGGUUGAAGCGAGGGGUAACUCGGACUUCUACCUAGCGGCGGACGGGUGAGUAACGCGUGGGCAACCUGCCUCAAGGUUUGGGAUAACAGCUCGAAAGGGCUGCUAAUACCGGAUAUGCCUAUGGCCUCGCAUGGGGCUAUGAGCAAAGGGGAAACCCGCCUUGAGAUGGGCCCGCGUCCCAUCAGCUAGUUGGUGAGGUGAAGGCUCACCAAGGCGACGACGGGUAGCCGGCCUGAGAGGGUGACCGGCCACACUGGGACUGAGACACGGCCCAGACUCCUACGGGGGCAGCAGUGGGGGAUCUUGCACAAUGGGCGAAAGCCUGAUGCAGCGACGCCGCGUGAGCGAAGAAGGCCUUCGGGUUGUAAAGCUCUGUCUGGAGGGACGAACAAGAUGACGGUACCUCCGGAGGAAGCCACGGCUAACUACGUGCCAGCAGCCGCGGUAAAUCACGUGUAC